rnacentral:rRNA from 1 species
UGGGGAAUAUUGCACAAUGGGCGAAAGCCUGAUGCAGCGACGCCGCGUGAGGGAUGACGGCCUUCGGGUUGUAAACCUCUUUCAGCAGGGACGAAGCGCAAGUGACGGUACCUGCAGAAGAAGCACCGGCUAACUACGUGCCAGCAGCCGCGGUAAUACAGAGGGGGCAAGCGUUAUUCGGAAUUAUUGGGCGUAAAGGGCGCGUAGGCGGCUUCGCAAGUGGUGGGUGAAAUCCCUCGGCUUAACCGAGGAACUGCCCUCCAAACUGCGUUGCUUGAGUCCGGGAGAGGUGAGUGGAAUUCCUGGUGUAGCGGUGAAAUGCGCAGAUAUCAGGAGGAACACCGGUGGCGAAGGCGGGUCUCUGGGCCGAUACUGACGCUGAGGAGCGAAAGCGUGGGGAGCGAACAGGAUUAGAUACCCUGGUAGUCCACGCCGUAAACGGUGGGUGCUAGGUGUGGGGGGCUUCCACGUCCUCCGUGCCGCAGCUAACGCAUUAAGCACCCCGCCUGGGGAGUACGGCCGCAAGGCUAA